CUGUCUGGAAAACAUCAAUCCAAGGUUGUAUGGUGAAGUGCAGCUGUGGUUUUUCCAAAAUUGGUGGCUUCUCCAAUUAACUUCAUGUAUGUAGUCAUCCAUGUGGCUUAGAACAAUCCAAUUGUGGCACAACAUCCCUACCUAUGGGCCUGGAGGCCUACAUUCAAAUUUAAAUUUGCGAGCAGCAUGUUGUUUGUUCUUCAUUGGGGCUUUGGUGUCAAACCUCAGAGGGUUAGAGGUACAUGAGGUCAUUCCAUUUCCCUCUACCCACCCAAAUGUCAGCGGCCUUUCAUUAAUAAUGGUGGAACCACUGUGGCAGCAUUAUGCAGGAACACUAGGAUAGGCUAAGACAUAUGGAAGACAAGCACUAAAGGAAUCCACAAAGGUCAAGAGAAAUAGAAAUGACAACACCGAUGACUGGCUGCAAGUUAUCUGACAAGCCCCUUCAGGGCUACACCAAGCUUCAUCACCCACUUCUACAGGCAUUGUGGCCUUCACCAGUAAAAUCAUUCAUAACAUUUCUACAAAUUCUGCAACAACCAGUAGAGAGGAAUCAACAUCCAACCAACUGCCUCUUGCUUUAAUGUAUAGCAUUCAGAACAAAAUAAAUGAAUUAAUGGCACAAAAUACAAGUUAAUAAG